rnacentral:rRNA from 2 species
CCCUACGGGGGGCUGCAGUGGGGGAUAUUGCACAAUGGGGGGAACCCUGAUGCAGCGACGCCGCGUGGGUGAAGAAGCGCCUCGGCGCGUAAAGCCCUGUCAGCAGGGAAGAAAAUGACGGUACCUGAAGAAGAAGCCCCGGCUAACUACGUGCCAGCAGCCGCGGUAAUACGUAGGGGGCAAGCGUUAUCCGGAUUUACUGGGUGUAAAGGGGGCGCAGACGGCGAUGCAAGCCAGGAGUGAAAGCCCGGGGGCCCACCCCGGGACUGCUCUUGGAACGGCGUGGCUGGAGUGCAGGAGGGGCAGGCGGAAUUCCUGGGGUAGCGGUGAAAUGCGUAGAUAUCAGGAGGAACACCGGUGGCGAAGGCGGCCUGCUGGACUGCAACUGACGUUGAGGCCCGAAAGCGUGGGGAGCAAACAGGAUUAGAUACCCGGGUAGUCUG